UACGAAGGGGGCUAGCGUUGUUCGGAUUUACUGGGCGUAAAGCGCACGUAGGCGGAUCGUUAAGUCGGGGGUGAAAUCCUGGAGCUCAACUCCAGAACUGCCUUCGAUACUGGCGAUCUUGAGUCCGGAAGAGGUGAGUGGAACUCCUAGUGUAGAGGUGGAAUUCGUAGAUAUUAGGAAGAACACCAGUGGCGAAGGCGGCGACCUGGUCCUUUACUGACGCUGAGGCGCGAAAGCGUGGGGAGCAAACAGGG
rnacentral:rRNA from 1 species